GCAGGGAUUGGAUGGACUCGUUGAAUCAUCACUACAAACAAUGAGCAACUCUGCUGACGAGAACAAAAUGAGGUUAACUCGUGAAACAUCUAAAAGUACAAUGUGGAAGUCCAGAUUAUAAAGAAAAGAACCACAGAAGAAGAAGGGUUUCCAUGGAUGGAUCAUUUAUUGUCCAUGUGGAUUCAAUGGUCUUUACACUGGUAGUUCAUUCACACCAGUGGUGGCUGCUGGUCUUUCAAGGAGGGGAAGCUCAUUUUUCUGGCCUACAUCAUAAUUGUAUUUGUUUAUUAGUAUGUAACAGAACAGAGUCGCCAAACACAACGGCAGUCGUUUUUAACAAAGACAAAAGUCGCUGAGGAUCGGUAAAGUCUCUGGAGCAGUUAAGAACAACGGAAUGAAUGACUUGGAAAAUGCUCUGGUAGAUGUUUUAUUCUUCAAGAUCGCUGAUUCGCUUGUUUAGCUGUCAAUCAAAAAAGGAUUUCGCCUCAGACAGCUCAUCCAAUCAUGGAUGCAGAAGCUUGGAGUCCGGGAGAAAGUCGGGACCGCCCUCUCGCCAUAGAACUCCAGUGAAGCUUAGCUUCCAUUGGGCGGGACAAAGCCCAGCAUUUAUCCAAUGAGCGUCUAGUUUCGCUGCUGGAACAACCCACUUUAAGCUUCCACAUUGAAGUCAGCAGAAGCCCAGCGUCCGACUGUUUGAAGCGCUGAGGCGCUGCGAGGAUGAAUGAGAACGAAGUUAUGCCGGUUACCUGUGAUUAUCAGCUUCUUAUCACAGUGUCUGAACAAAAGUUGAAGGCUUUCUAGUGCGUAUUUAGUUAAUGAAAUGUACACACAGCCGUACGUAUUUCACCACUUUUUCUUUUUUGGGGGGGGUGACAUUUUAAGGGAAGCCGAGCUUCCUUUGCAGUCUUAGAGCAAUCGCCACUGAUUCACACAUCUGGUAACUUCCUGAUGAGCAUGUAAACCUUAACAUGUAGUGGGUGAACUAAGACUAAGGUAUUUGCACCAUGGAGUAGAGUUCAUGUACAUAGUCUUCUGUUCCAGAUCAAGGAUCAAAUGAAUCAUGAGACUGAUAGGUGGUUUUUAGUUUUUCCUUGGUUUUGUGUUUCCAUUGAGUGUAUUUCCUUUGUGAUUUCCCCUAGUGUUUCUGUUCCCUAUUGUCCUAUCUUGUGAGUUUUUAGUUUGUGUCUGACCCCGGUUCCCUCAUGUUCUCAGUGUUUUAUUCUUUAUAUCAGUUUUCGGUGUUUCCUGUUUUAUUUUGUAGUAGUUUAUUCCCUGUGUUUCUAGUCUUGUUUUAGCUUCUCAGUUUUCCCUCCUCUGUGAUUGUCUGCACCUGUGUCUCAGAGUCUCACCUGCCUCUCGUUGCUCGUAUCCCUGUGUGUAUAUAGCCCUUGGCUGUGUCCAAAAUGGAUCCCCAACCCCUAGAUAGGCGACUAUAUGGGGGUUAGCACCAUUUUGAGGGGUGUCCGAAACCUGAGUGAUCAAUUCCAAUGCCCCAUAUAGGCGACUCAAAAUUUCCCAUAGAGCUUUGCAAAAUGUAGUGACCAUCCGAUGGUCACUCACCGGUGGUGGGCAUCCCAUCAUGCAUUGGGUCUUGCCAUGUGGUGUCCGAAACCUCCGGUACACAGCCCUUGUCUUCCCCUGUUUCUUUGUUGGUUCAUUGUGUGGUGUGUUGUAUGUCUGUGCGUCUGUAUGCCAGUGUUCCCAGUGUCUCCUUGUGAGUUUUUAGUGAGUUUUUUUGUGAGUCUUUAGUUGGAUUUUGGAUUUUUUGGUUGUUUUGGAUUUUGCCUCUUGGGUUUUUUUUGCCUUUG